rnacentral:lncRNA from 1 species
GCCUCUAUAGCCUAUCGGAAGGGCUCCGUGUGUGAGAGGUCUUGGGCUUGCUGCUUGGCCGCGUCAAACCAAAAACGUGAAAAUGGUAUUAUUAGCUUCCUCACUUGGCGCUCAGCAGUAGAGGAUAGUACUAGGACUGGUGUCAGUAUAAUGUUACUAGGUUGGGUAUCAUGUCAUGUGCCUUCAGUGAGGCAACACUAAAACGAUGGGCAUGGUGUUCACUGCUACAAGUAGACACCAUCAUUUGUAUGAGAGUAAAUUGUUAGAAAAAGCACUUAAACCCGAAAACGCAUGAACGCACGCACGCACGCAUUUAUCAAAGGCGACAGUAAUUUCUUAAUAUGUUUUUUUGUUUUUGCUUUUUUUUUUUACAUUUCUGUAUUUUCUCUAGCAACUUGUGCUGCCAAUUAGCAGAGAUGUGACGAUGGAGUGUGUAUACCAGACAGUGAUAGUUGUAGUAGCAUACCUAACUGUAAUGGUGUGUCCAAUGAGAAUUGUACAGUUACCACUACACCAGUUCAGCCAAACAAUGAUCUAGAACCAGUCAUGAUUAUUGCGAUUGUUAUCGGAAGUAUUCUUGCAGUAUGUUUCUUGAUUCAACUUGUAGUAUAUCUUGUGUUGUGCAAGAGAGCUUUGCGACAUUCAGCGUUGGUACUGGAACAUUUAACAGUGGACAGAUUCUUGCGACAUUUAGUAUUACAGGUGCGAUGUGUAGCGGUAGAUGUUUUUGUGACAUUUAGCGGUGGCCGGCGACUCAUCACUACACUUAAUUAAUGCAUGUCAUAUUUUCAUUAGAGGUAUUCUUAUAAUUCGAUUUGUCUAGAAUUCCGAUUGCACAGCCAAGAUAGAGUUAUUUGAGCAUAAUUAUGUAUAAAUUUAAUAAACAUAAUUUGCUUAACAUUAUAUUGUUGGAAAUGCCUUUCUUUCUUAAUAAUUAACGAA